CUGAGGCUGUUGAGGAUUAAGC
rnacentral:miRNA from 1 species